GACGUAGGGCGCGAGCGUUGUCCGGAUUUAUUGGGCGUAAAGAGCUCGUAGGCGGCUUGUCGCGUCGUCCGUGAAACCUGCGGCUCAACUGCAGGCUGGCGGUCGAUACGGGCAGGCUGGAGUUCGGUAGGGGAGACUGGAAGUUCCUGGUGUAGCGGUGAAAUGCGCAGAUAUCAGGAGGAACACCGGUGGCGAAGGCGGGUCUCUGGGCCGAUACUGAC
rnacentral:rRNA from 1 species